rnacentral:tRNA from 1 species
GCCUACUUGGUGAAAUUGGUAAACACGUUAGAUUUAAAAUCUGAUCCUAUAAAAGGUUAUUGGUUCAAGUCCAAUAGUAGGUA